rnacentral:rRNA from 1 species
GAUGAACGCUGGCGGCGUGCCUAAUACAUGCAAGUCGAGCGAACAGAUAAGGAGCUUGCUCCUUUGACGUUAGCGGCGGACGGGUGAGUAACACGUGGGUAACCUACCUAUAAGACUGGAAUAACUCCGGGAAACCGGGGCUAAUGCCGGAUAACAUUUAGAACCGCAUGGUUCUAAAGUGAAAGAUGGUUUUGCUAUCACUUAUAGAUGGACCCGCGCCGUAUUAGCUGGUUGGUAAGGUAACGGCUUACCAAGGCAACGAUACGUAGCCGACCUGAGAGGGUGAUCGGCCACACUGGAACUGAGACACGGUCCAGACUCCUACGGGAGGCAGCAGUAGGGAAUCUUCCGCAAUGGGCGAAAGCCUGACGGAGCAACGCCGCGUGAGUGAUGAAGGUCUUCGGAUCGUAAAACUCUGUUAUUAGGGAAGAACAAAUGUGUAAGUAACUGUGCACGUCUUGACGGUACCUAAUCAGAAAGCCACGGCUAACUACGUG